rnacentral:rRNA from 1 species
GACGAACGCUGGCGGCGUGCUUAACACAUGCAAGUCGAGCGAUGAAGUUCCUUCGGGAAUGGAUUAGCGGCGGACGGGUGAGUAACACGUGGGUAACCUGCCUCAUAGAGGGGAAUAGCCUUCCGAAAGGAAGAUUAAUACCGCAUAAGAUUGUAGUUUCGCAUGAAACAGCAAUUAAAGGAGUAAUCCGCUAUGAGAUGGACCCGCGUCGCAUUAGCUAGUUGGUGAGGUAACGGCUCACCAAGGCGACGAUGCGUAGCCGACCUGAGAGGGUGAUCGGCGACAUUGGGACUGAGACACGGCCCAGACCCCUACGGGAGGCAGCAGUGGGGAAUAUUGCACAAUGGGGGAAACCCUGAUGCAGCAACGCCGCGUGGGUGAUGACGGUCUUCGGAUUGUAAAACUCUGUCUUCAGGGACGAUAAUGACGGUACCUGAGGAGGAAGCCACGGCUAACUACGUGCCAGCCGCCGCCGUAAUAC